UGGGGAAUUUUGGACAAUGGGCGAAAGCCUGAUCCAGCAAUGCCGCGUGUGUGAAGAAGGCCUUCGGGUUGUAAAGCACUUUUGUCCGGAAAGAAAUCCUUGGCUCUAAUACAGUCGGGGGAUGACGGUACCGGAAGAAUAAGCACCGGCUAACUACGUGCCAGCAGCCGCGGUAAUACGUAGGGUGCAAGCGUUAAUCGGAAUUACUGGGCGUAAAGCGUGCGCAGGCGGUUUGCUAAGACCGAUGUGAAAUCCCCGGGCUCAACCUGGGAACUGCAUUGGUGACUGGCAGGCUAGAGUAUGGCAGAGGGGGGUAGAAUUCCACGUGUAGCAGUGAAAUGCGUAGAGAUGUGGAGGAAUACCGAUGGCGAAGGCAGCCCCCUGGGCCAAUACUGACGCUCAUGCACGAAAGCGUGGGGAGCAAACAGGAUUAGAUACCCUGGUAGUCCACGCCCUAAACGAUGUCAACUAGUUGUUGGGGAUUCAUUUCCUUAGUAACGUAGCUAACGCGUGAAGUUGGCCGCCUGGGGAGUACGGUCGCAAGAUUAAAAACUCAAAUGAAUUGACGGGGUCAUAGCUGUUUCCU
rnacentral:rRNA from 1 species